CCGGAAGCGCUGGCGCACCGCGACGCCCCAAGUCGAGCUCGCUCACCGAUGGAAAUUCCGGCCGUCAAGCCGCACUACCACCCAGCAGUGGGCCAGGCAGGUGUCGUCAGCCUCGAAGUCCCUCACGUACUCGAACUUGCUUUUUGCCAUGGUCGCCCCCAAUCUCAGGGGUUCCAGAAGUCGUGAGGAUGUGGUUGACGGAGGACUUGGAAAAAGAUGUUAGGAAAAGAGAAAGAGGAAAUUAAAUAUGCAAUACUGAUUAAAAGGAAGAGGUGGAUAAAGAAGAAAAAGAGAGAGAGACAGAAGAAGAAAGAAAGAAAAGAACAGAAUAGAAUUUGGUGCGUAUAAAAUGUUUUGAGGCCCUAUAUCACAAAGAACUCUAAUACUUUUUAGAAAAGGCAAGGUAUUAAGACAUCUUGAUAUAAUAUAAAGAUAUUAUUAUUGAUACAGAGACAGAAUCAUAUUCACUGAAGUGUUAAUUUCACCACAUAGCUAUGAGUUAUAGGGCUGCAUAUAGAGUGGCCUGUAAUCAUUUGGCCCUGAAAGGGUCAUACGUUGGUAGAGAGAUUGAUGCAGGCGGAUAUCUCAAUUUAAUUUUUUCCAGUGACUGGGCUGGCUUAUCGAAUAAAAGAAUUUAAAU